rnacentral:misc_RNA from 1 species
GUUGAACCACUGCCAGAAAUUUAUCAUAGCAUCCACAAUGUAUGAGAAUUCCGGAUUGGAAAACCUCUUAGAAGCAAUAUGUCUAAGUUCAUCCAGAUCACUAACAGGAGAAACCCAUAUCUCAGUAAACCGAUUACGAAGAGCUGGAGAUAAUUCCUUCUUACCAUAAUCACCUCCAGGAUUCAUAGUUGCAAGCACUAAAAAGUUUUCAUGAGCUGUUAUCUCUUCCAUAACAGACCCUCCUUUCUCUGCCAAAGACAGUUUUCUUUCUGGCUCCAAAAUGCUGUUCAAUCUUUCUAGCACACUAUCAUCAGCCAAGGAAAUUUCAUCAACGAGAAACAGAUCACCAGCUUUCAUGGCUUGCACAAGAGGCCCAUCUUGCCACAUAAAUAUUGUCUGCCACUUCUGAUGCAGCUGACUAAGGUUCAACUUCAUCUCCUCAAGAGUAUCAACAUCUUUUGCAGUGACAUCAGGACAUGAAACCUGACCUUGUCUAUAACUCGUUAUUAUCGCAGCAAGAUGAUCCAGAGUGGAAGAAGCCUGACCGAUAUCAGGAGAAAUUUCCAAGAGCUCAGGAAAGUGACCAUAAGCCUUUGACAGCAUCAGCUUUUCU